rnacentral:rRNA from 1 species
GACGAACGCUGGCGGCGUGCCUAAUACAUGCAAGUAGGACGCAGUUGCGAACGGGUGAGUAACGCGUAGGUAACUGCAUACAAGAGGGGGAUAACUCUUGGAAACGAUAGCUAAUACCGCAUACUAGUAGAUGGACGUACCUUCUGUUAGCUAGUAGGUUGGGUAAUGGCCUACCUAGGCAACGGUACAUAGCCGAACUGAGAAGGUGAUCGGGCACCGUGAGACGUAGACACGGCCCCGAAUCCUCAGGGAGGCAGCAGUAGGGUAUCUUCAGACAUGGGGAGAAACCUGACCGGGCAACGCCGCGGGAGUGAAAAAGGUUUGUGGAUCGUUAAGCUCUGUUGUUUAGGAAGCGGUACUUAACCAGAAAGGGACGGCUAACUACGUGCCAGCAGCCGCGGUAAUAC